GACGAACGCUGGCGGCGUGCCUAAUACAUGCAAGUAGAACGCACAGUUUAUACCGUAGCUUGCUACACCAUAGACUGUGAGUUGCGAACGGGUGAGUAACGCGUAGGUAACCUGCCUGGUAGCGGGGGAUAACUAUUGGAAACGAUAGCUAAUACCGCAUAAUAUUGAUUAUUGCAUGAUAAUUGAUUGAAAGAUGCUAUUGCAUCACUACCAGAUGGACCUGCGUUGUAUUAGCUAGUAGGUGAGGUAACGGCUCGCCUAGGCGACGAUACAUAGCCGACCUGAGAGGGUGAUCGGCCACACUGGGACUGAGACACGGCCCAGACUCCUACGGGAGGCAGCAGUAGGGAAUCUUCGGCAAUGGACGAAAGUCUGACCGAGCAACGCCGCGUGAGUGAAGAAGGUUUUCGGAUCGUAAAGCUCUGUUGUAAGAGAAGAACGGGUGUGAGAGUGGAAAGUUCACACUGUGACGGUAUCUUACCAGAAAGGGACGGCUAACUACGUG
rnacentral:rRNA from 1 species